GUGCACGCUGGCGGUAGGCCUCACUCAUGCCAGUCGCACGGCAGCACUGUAAGAGCUUGCUCUUACGGGUGGCGAGUGGCGGACGGGUGAGGAAUACAUCGGAAUCUACUUUUUCGUGGGGGAUAACGUAGGGAAACUUACGCUAAUACCGCAUACGACCUACGGGUGAAAGCAGGGGAUCUUCGGACCUUGCGCGAUUGAAUGAGCCGAUGUCGGAUUAGCUAGUUGGCGAGGUAAAGGCCCACCAAGGCGACGAUCCGUAGCUGGUCUGAGAGGAUGAUCAGCCACACUGGAACUGAGACACGGUCCAGACUCCUACGGGAGGCAGCAGUGGGGAAUAUUGGACAAUGGGCGCAAGCCUGAUCCAGCCAUACCGCGUGGGUGAAGAAGGCCUUCGGGUUGUAAAGCCCUUUUGUUGGGAAAGAAAAACAGCAGGUUAAUCCCCCGCUGUUCUGACGGUACCCAAAGAAUAAGCACCGGCUAACUUCGUG
rnacentral:rRNA from 1 species